UGCGGCGAUCUUACACAUGCAGUCGAACGGUGAACACGGAGCUUGCUCUGUGGGAUCAGUGGCGAACGGGUGAGUAACACGUGAGCAACCUGCCCCUGACUCUGGGAUAAGCGCUGGAAACGGCGUCUAAUACUGGAUAUGUGACGUGACCGCAUGGUCUGCGUUUGGAAAGAUUUUUCGGUUGGGGAUGGGCUCGCGGCCUAUCAGCUUGUUGGUGAGGUAAUGGCUCACCAAGGCGUCGACGGGUAGCCGGCCUGAGAGGGUGACCGGCCACACUGGGACUGAGACACGGCCCAGACUCCUACGGGAGGCAGCAGUGGGGAAUAUUGCACAAUGGGCGAAAGCCUGAUGCAGCAACGCCGCGUGAGGGAUGACGGCCUUCGGGUUGUAAACCUCUUUUAGCAGGGAAGAAGCGAAAGUGACGGUACCUGCAGAAAAAGCGCCGGCUAACUACGUGCCAGCAGCCGCGGUAAUACGUAGGGCGCAAGCGUUAUCCGGAAUUAUUGGGCGUAAAGAGCUCGUAGGCGGUUUGUCGCGUCUGCUGUGAAAUCCCGAGGCUCAACCUCGGGCCUGCAGUGGGUACGGGCAGACUAGAGUGCGGUAGGGGAGAUUGGAAUUCCUGGUGUAGCGGUGGAAUGCGCAGAUAUCAGGAGGAACACCGAUGGCGAAGGCAGAUCUCUGGGCCGUAACUGACGCUGAGGAGCGAAAGGGUGGGGAGCAAACAGGCUUAGAUACCCUGGUAGUCCACCCCGUAAACGUUGGGAACUAGUUGUGGGGUCCAUUCCACGGAUUCCGUGACGCAGCUAACGCAUUAAGUUCCCCGCCUGGGGAGUACGGCCGCAAGGCUAAAACUCAAAGGAAUUGACGGGGACCCGCACAAGCGGCGGAGCAUGCGGAUUAAUUCGAUGCAACGCGAAGAACCUUACCAAGGCUUGACAUAUACGAGAACGGGCCAGAAAUGGUCAACUCUUUGGACACUCGUAAACAGGUGGUGCAUGGGUUGUCGUCAGCUCGUGUCGUGAGAUGUUGGGUUUAAGUCCCGCAACGAGCGCAACCUCGUUCUAUGUUGCCAGCACGUAAUGUUGGGACUCAUGGGAUACUGCCCGGGGUCAACUCGGAGGAGUGGGGAAUGAACGGUCAAUCAUUCAUGCCCCUUAUUGGUCUCUUGGGGCC
rnacentral:rRNA from 1 species